UCUGUAGUUCAGUGGUAGAACGGUAGUCUCCAAAACUAUUCACGGGAGUUCGAUUCUCUCCGG
rnacentral:tRNA from 1 species